rnacentral:snRNA from 1 species
AUCGCUUCUCGGCCUUUUGGCUAAGAUCAAGUGUAAAAUUAACUACUUGAUGACAUUUAAUGCAUAUUUGCAGCCUCUGCAUGACCAAAGUGGUCUUGGCCAUGUUUGUGAUGUAAGACUUCAAUAUAUUUUCCUAUGAUGUGAACUUUU